rnacentral:lncRNA from 1 species
GAAGAAGUUUCUUUUGUCUCCUCCUUAUCCCAAUGCGCACACAACUCCUUCCAGACCGUGUCGUUCAUCGACUUUGGGACCUUUUAAUUAAAAAAAAAGAAAAAGUUUAAUAAAUUAAAAAAUAGUUUAAUAAAUUAAAAAAUUGUUUAAUAAAUUAAAUCGAACCUUAUUGAUUUCCCACUUCUUCUUCCACUCGUGGAACUGCUUCCCAUAGUUGUCCAUUAUUUUAUGGACGAAGUGGUGAUAGAUAAAGAGCGUCUCAUCGGAAUUCCAGUUGAAC